rnacentral:rRNA from 1 species
AUACGUAGGUCCCGAGCGUUAUCCGGAACUACUGGGCGUAAAGGGUCCGUAGGCGGCUGGGUAAGUCAGUAGAUAAAGCCUGGCUCUCAAGGCCAGUCCUUCUACUGAUACUGCUUAGCUUGAGGGCAGGAGAAAACAGGGGAAUUCCCGGUGUAGCGGUGAAAUGCGUAGAUAUCGGGAGGAGCACCAGUGAGGAAGCUGCCUGUUUGGCCUGUUCCUGACGCUGAGGGACGAAAGCCAGGGGAGCAAACCGGAUUAGAUACCCGGGUAGUCCUGGCUGUAAACGAUGAGUGCUAGGUGUGGGGUGUAACACUCCGUGCCGCAGGUAACCCAUUAAGCACUCCGCCUGGGUAGUACGGGCGCAAGCCUGAA